rnacentral:rRNA from 1 species
UACGGAGGGUGCGAGCGUUGUUCGGAAUUAUUGGGCGUAAAGAGCUCGUAGGCGGUUUGUCGCGUCUGCUGUGAAAACUCGGGGCUUAACUCCGGGCCUGCAGUGGGUACGGGCAGACUAGAGUGCGGUAGGGGAGACUGGAAUUCCUGGUGUAGCGGUGAAAUGCGCAGAUAUCAGGAGGAACACCGGUGGCGAAGGCGGGUCUCUGGGCCGUAACUGACGCUGAGGAGCGAAAGCGUGGGGAGCGAACAGG